CAAGAGGAGUAGACAGCAUGACAUAACAAAAGGGAUGGAUAAAAGCAAGAUCAUAAAAACAACGCAAAGAAUCAAUAAAACAAAAAGUUAGUUCUUCCCACAACUUGGCCCAGGGCAGAGCCAGUGCUCCAGACCCUCCCUCCAACACCCAGAUACAGCUUUACUCCCAGCUGGCUUGGUCACAUGACACCUCAGCGUUGGAGCUCAAGUAUGAGGGAUAGAGUGAAGGACACCGAAGGAAAGGAAGCUCAAACAAGGGCAAAGGAAAAUGAAGAUUUGGGCCAGUAGUGAAUAAACCCUGUUUAAAAAAAAAGGGGACAAGGUAA